CCUACGGGUGACAGCAGUGGGGAAUAUUGGUCAAUGGACGCAAGCCUGACCCAGCCACGCCGCGUGCAGGAAGAAGGCUCUCUGAUUUUAAACUUCUUUUCGUACGGAGGUAGAACGCGACACUACCUUCGGAAUAAGCGACUGCUAACUACGUGCCAGCAGCCGCUGCAUUACGUAGGUGGCAGGCAUUAUCCGGAUUUAUGGGGUGUACAGGGCUCGUAGGCGGGAGAGCAAGUAAGAGGUGAAAACUCAGUGCUCAACCCUGACCCUGCAUGUGAUACUGUGCUUCUUGAGUGUUGGAGAGGAAGGCGGAAUUGAGGGUGUAGCGGUGAAAUGCGUAGAGAUA
rnacentral:rRNA from 1 species